rnacentral:sRNA from 1 species
UCUUUGGCAGAUGACGCUGUAGCGUCCGC